CUGUUGCCAGUGAGAGAGGUCAUCAACGAUCUUCCAGAGGACGCCGUGGAGCACGCGGCGGUCGUGGUCGUGGCUCCCAAACCUCCACCAGAAGGCAUGAGGAGGACGUUGAACGAUUUUAUAUCGACAAUGACCUCCUCAUCCAUAUGGUGGAGGAGCGUACACCGUUGUGGGACCACACCGACCGCCGCCAUGCAGACCAUCAUCUAACACGGCUCCUCUGGAACGAGAUAUGUGCGGCCAUUCUGCCCAACUGGGAUGACCUCCGAGAAAGGCAACAGGGCCAAUGCCGAGAUACGAUCAUGGUUCGGUGGCGCUCAAUCAGGGACCGCUACAAGAAGGCCUUUAAUGAGGAACUUCGGCGCCCGAGUGGG